GGUAAAUACCAGAGGAAACAGCUUAAUGAGUUAAAAAUGGAAGUCUGGUGGAGCAGACAGCAGGCAGGGGAGGUUGCUUCUGGGCUGCUUCAUGUAAAACUAUGAUAUGUUUUUGAACUAUGUUUAUGUUUCUUUUUAGAACUAUGUAUAUUUUACCGACUAAGACAUCAUUUUAAUGCAACUUAGAACAUAUGAAAGCAGAACAUAUGACAUCAGAGUUGGCAUGGUGGCUCACACCUGUAAUCCCAGCCACCUGAGAGGCUGAGCAGGAGGAUCCAAAAUUCAAGGUCAGUCUGGGCAACUUAGCGAGACCCUAUUAUUGCAAAAUAAAGAUUUAAAAAGGGAUAGGGAUGUAAUCGAUGGUAGAGCAUCACUGGCUUCAAUCCCCAGUAUCAUAAAAAAAUAGAGCAGUUAUUACAGUAAUGACAAAAGAAUGUAGGAGGGACCCUAUCAGGAUGGUAGGAAGGGGAAAUAGUUCAAGAAUUUAAGCAGGUACAUUUGACAUUCCCUGGUUGACCUGUGGCUGCAGAACUCAAGAGAGAGAUGGAAGUAAUCAGUAGAAAUAAGUCUGAGUCUCAGCCUCCACCUCUUUCUUGAGGUCUGCAGCCACAAUUCAACCAGGGGCAAUCAGUAGAAAUAAAACCCACCAAGCUUCCAUGGGUUUUCUCCCCCACUAUUUGAAUGAACUAAUAGGGCAGAGACUCAAAUGGGUUCUGCUCAGCAAGUCUCACCCUCUACUACCACUUUCCUCAGAGCUUCCAGAUGUGUUCUAGAUGGCUGUCCAGCGCCUGGAGCUCAUCCUUGACUUCCACGUAUGUAGAACCCUGCCUCUCCAGCACUGGAGUGGACUGCGGUCCAUAGCAGUUCCAAGUGCUAAAAUGACUUUGAUGCCUAGAUGCCCAGUUCUUGUGUGUCAUAGAUUUGUUUUUUGUUCUUGCUGUGAGACAAGUACUCUACUACUGAUUACACCUCUAGCCUAGAUGUGUUUUUGAAAUAUAAAAAAAUUUCCAUCAUUUGUUUCUUAAUGUUUGUGGAGUCUUUAGUCUGUCUGCUUGAAGUCUGCUGUUGGGUAUCUGUUCCUGCUGAGGUCUGUCCUGUUAUCGAGCUCCACUAAUCUUGUUCCACUUAAGCCCUUAGUAUCACUGCCACCCAACUGCAAUUCCAUUCUAAGUGGUCACUCCAGUUCAACCAACACAGUGGCCAGGAUGACCGAUUCCUCUGCCAAUCUUAUUGGAUUCUUUUCUUUCCUUGGUACUGGGGAUUUGUGAGAAAUGACAGUCCAGUGCUCCAUUUUCAGAAUACAGCCGUAAUUGGACCCAAUUGUAGCCAUUUUGAUUAUAGCCCUUCACUUUGAUCCCCCCAAUUUUAAAAUUAGCUAAUCAGGUUUAUUGUACCCAAGCUCCUCCAAACAGGGCAAAGGGCAGUAAUAAAAGUGGUUGGCCUGCCUACCCCUGCCGGCUCGCUAGCCAGGUUUCUGCAGACACCCUUCUAGCAGGAGCAAACACCUUACCCAUCCACUUCUGAGCAUGUUUGGUUGCUUGCAGUAUUUCUAACAGGAUUGAACCUAGGGGUGCUUAACCACUGAACCACAUCCCCAGCCCUUUUUAAGACAGGGUCUCUUAAGGCUUCAAGUUACUGAGGCUGAUGUUGAACUUGUGAUCCUCCCGCCUCAACUUUCCCAGUUGUGGCGAUUACAGGCCUGCGCCCCCAUGCC
rnacentral:lncRNA from 1 species